rnacentral:rRNA from 1 species
CGACGGCAGCACGGGUGCUUGCACCUGGUGGCGAGUGGCGAACGGGUGAGUAAUGCGUCGGAACGUACCGAGUAAUGGGGGAUAACGCAGCGAAAGUUACGCUAAUACCGCAUAUUCUGUGAGCAGGAAAGCAGGGGAUCGCAAGACCUUGCGCUGAUUGAGCGGCCGAUAUCAGAUUAGCUAGUUGGUGAGGUAAAGGCUCACCAAGGCGACGAUCUGUAGCGGGUCUGAGAGGAUGAUCCGCCACACUGGAACUGAGACACGGUCCAGACUCCUACGGGAGGCAGCAGUGGGGAAUUUUGGACAAUGGGCGCAAGCCUGAUCCAGCCAUGCCGCGUGAGUGAAGAAGGCCUUCGGGUUGUAAAGCUCUUUCAGCCGGGAAGAAAACGCAUGGGUUAAUACCCUGUGUGGAUGACGGUACCGGAAUAAGAAGCACCGGCUAACUACGUGCCAGCAGCCGCGGUAAUACGUAGGGUGCGAGCGUUAAUCGGAAUUACUGGGCGUAAAGCGUGCGCAGGCGGAUUGUUAAGCAAGACGUGAAAUCCCCGGGCUUAACCUGGGAAUGGCGUUUUGAACUGGCAGUCUAGAGUGCGUCAGAGGGGGGUGGAAUUCCACGUGUAGCAGUGAAAUGCGUAGAGAUGUGGAGGAACACCGAUGGCGAAGGCAGCCCCCUGGGAUGACACUGACGCUCAUGUA